rnacentral:sRNA from 1 species
UACACUUAUUUGUAAGUGGAAAUUAGCGCAGGCUCUCCGGAGCCAUUCCCCUAGGCCCAAAAAUGCUAAGCAUUUCGGGCCUUUUUUU